ACGAACGCUGGCGGCAGGCCUAAAACAUGCAAGUCGAACGAACCUUCGGGUUAGUGGCGCACGGGUGAGUAACACGUGGGAAUAUGCCUCUUGGUGCGGAACAACGUCUGGAAACGGACGCUAAUACCGCAUAAUAUCUACGGAUCAAAGAUUUAUCGCCAAGAGAUUAGCCCGCGUCUGAUUAGCUAGUUGGUGAGGUAAUGGCUCACCAAGGCGUCGAUCAGUAGCUGGUCUGAGAGGAUGAUCAGCCACACUGGAACUGAGACACGGUCCAGACUCCUACGGGAGGCAGCAGUUAGGAAUAUUGGACAAUGGGGGCAACCCUGAUCCAGCCAUGCCGCGUGUGUGAUGAAGGCCUUAGGGUUGUAAAGCACUUUCAGCUGUGAAGAUAAUGACAGUAGCAGCAGAAGAAGCUCCGGCUAAAUUCGUGCCAGCCGCCGCAGUAA
rnacentral:rRNA from 1 species